AGUGAACGCUGGCGGUAGGCCUAACACAUGCAAGUCGAACGGCAGCACAGUAAGAGCUUGCUCUUACGGGUGGCGAGUGGCGGACGGGUGAGGAAUACAUCGGAAUCUACUUUUUCGUGGGGGAUAACGUAGGGAAACUUACGCUAAUACCGCAUACGACCUACGGGUGAAAGCAGGGGAUCUUCGGACCUUGCGCGAUUGAAUGAGCCGAUGUCGGAUUAGCUAGUUGGCGGGGUAAGGGCCCACCAAGGCGACGAUCCGUAGCUGGUCUGAGAGGAUGAUCAGCCACACUGGAACUGAGACACGGUCCAGACUCCUACGGGAGGCAGCAGUGGGGAAUAUUGGACAAUGGGCGCAAGCCUGAUCCAGCUAUACCGCGUGGGUGAAGAAGGCCUUCGGGUUGUAAAGCCCUUUUGUUGGGAAAGAAAAGCAGCAGGUUAAUACCCCGCUGUUCUGACGGUACCCAAAGAAUAAGCACCGGCUAACUUCG
rnacentral:rRNA from 1 species